rnacentral:rRNA from 1 species
GUUGAAUGGGGAUUCACUAAGACAGAAAUAAAGCAUUGGGUCGAACUCUUCUUUGGUGUUAAGGUGGUAGCUGUGAAUAGCCAUCGACUACCUGGAAAAGGUAGAAGAAUAGGACCUAUUCUGGGCCAUACAAUGCAUUACAUACAUAUGAUCAUUACCCUUCGACCAGGUUAUUCUAUUCCACUUCUAGAUAGGUUUUUGAGUUGGCCCAUUUGA